rnacentral:tRNA from 1 species
AGCGGAGUGGAGCAGUCGGCAGCUCGUUGGGCUCAUAACCCAAAGGUCACAGGUUCAAGUCCUGUCUCCGCAACCA